rnacentral:lncRNA from 1 species
CCUUCACAGCUGCCAAGAUCCAUAUGUGUGCAUGAAGCCUAUAUAAGGCAGUAGUGCCAAACGAUAACAUCAUCGUUUGUUCUCUCUCUCCCUCCCUCUCCUCUCUCUCUCUCUCUCUCUCUCUUCCCCUCUCUCUCUCUCUCUCUCUCUCUUCCCCUCUCUCUCUGACUCUCUCCCUCUCUCUGAUUCUCUCUCCUCUCUCUCUCUCUCUCUGACUCUCUCCCUCUCUCUGAUUCUCUCUCCUCUCUCUCUCUCUCUCUGACUCUCUCCCUCUCUCCGACUCUCUCCCCUCUCUCUCUCUCUGUACACAGAAGUGACAAUGAUGAGUGGAAAUCUAGCAAAGAUCGAUACAAGAACGAAA